rnacentral:rRNA from 1 species
UACACUCCUGCGGGAGGCAGCAGUGGGGAAUUUUGGACAAUGGGCGAAAGCCUGAUCCAGCAAUGCCGCGUGAGUGAAGAAGGCCUUCGGGUUGUAAAGCUCUUUUGUCAGGGAAGAAACGGUGAGAGCUAAUAUCUCUUGCUAAUGACGGUACCUGAAGAAUAAGCACCGGCUAACUACGUGCCAGCAGCCGCGGUAAUACGUAGGGUGCAAGCGUUAAUCGGAAUUACUGUGCGUAAAGCGUGCGCAGGCGGUUUUGUAAGUCUGAUGUGAAAUCCCCGGGCUCAACCUGGGAAUUGCAUUGGAGACGGCAAGGCUAGAAUCUGGCAGAGGGGGGUAGAAUUCCGCGUGUAGCAGUGAAAUGCGUAGAUAUGUGGAGGAACACCGAUGGCGAAGGCAGCCCCCUGGGUCAAGAUUGACGCUCAUGCACGAAAGCGUGGGGAGCAAACAGGAUUAGAUACCCCAGUAGUCCC